rnacentral:misc_RNA from 1 species
AAGACUAUAGACCUGCGGAGUACCUGCGGAAGGAUCAUUACAGGACUCGCAAGACUCCUUAAACCCCUGUGAACUUACUGUUUAUACGUUGCUUCGGCGGGUGCUCCGGGGUCCGCCCCGGGGCGCUGCGCCCGCCGGCAGCCUACUUAAUUCUGUUUCUCUGCGUUGGCAUCUCGAGUAAGCAAAAUAAGUUAAAACUUUCAACAAUGGAUCUCU